UUGGAGGGCAAGUCUGGUGCCAGCAGCCGCGGUAAUUCCAGCUCCAAUAGCGUAUAUUAAAGUUGUUGCAGUUAAAAAGCUCAUAGUUGAAUUUCGGGAUCAGAGUGUCGGUCGUGCCUCGGUACGCACUGGUAUUAUUGGUUCCUACCUUCUGAAGAACCGCGAUGUCAUUAAUUUGGUGUCGUGGGGAAUCAGGACUGUUACUUUGAAAAAAUUAGAGUGUUUAAAGCAGGCUUACGCUUGAAUACAUUAGCAUGGAAUAAUGAAAUAGGACGUUUGAUUCUAUUUUGUUGGUUUCUAGGAUUGACGUAAUGAUUAAUAGGGAUAGUUGGGGGCAUUAGUAUUCAAUUGUCAGAGGUGAAAUUCUUGGAUUUAUUGAAGACUAACUACUGCGAAAGCAUUUGCCAAGGAUGUUUUCAUUAAUCAAGAACGAAAGUUAGGGGAUCGAAGACGAUCAGAUACCGUCGUAGUCUUAACCAUAAACUAUGCCGACUAGGGAUCGGAUGAUGUUAAUUUUUUAAUGACUCAUUCGGCGCCUUACGGGAAACCAAAGUGUUUGGGUUC
rnacentral:rRNA from 1 species